GUACACUCCUGCGGGAGGCAGCAGUGGGGAAUAUUGGACAAUGGGCGCAAGCCUGAUCCAGCCAUGCCGCGUGAGUGAUGAAGGCCCUAGGGUUGUAAAGCUCUUUCACCGGUGAAGAUAAUGACGGUAACCGGAGAAGAAGCCCCGGCUAACUUCGUGCCAGCAGCCGCGGUAAUACGAAGGGGGCUAGCGUUGUUCGGAUUUACUGGGCGUAAAGCGCACGUAGGCGGACUAUUAAGUCAGGGGUUAAAUCCCGGGGCUCAACCCCGGAGCUGCCUUUGAUACUGGUAGUCUUGAGUUCGAGAGAGGUGAGUGGAAUUCCGAGUGUAGAGGUGAAAUUCGUAGAUAUUCGGAGGAACACCAGUGGCGAAGGCGGCUCACUGGCUCGAUACUGACGCUGAGGUGCGAAAGCGUGGGGAGCAAACAGGAUUAGAAACCCCAGUAGUCCCAU
rnacentral:rRNA from 1 species